rnacentral:tRNA from 1 species
GCGCGGGUGGUGAAACUGGUAGACACGCAGCCUUGAGGGGGCUGUGUCCGCAAGGAUGUGGAGGUUCAAGUCCUCUCCCGCGCACAA